rnacentral:rRNA from 1 species
GACGAACGCUGGCGGCGUGCUUAACACAUGCAAGUCGAGCGGUAAGGCCCUUUCGGGGGUACACGAGCGGCGAACGGGUGAGUAACACGUGGGUGACCUGCCCUCAGCUCUGGGAUAAGCCUGGGAAACUGGGUCUAAUACUGGAUAUGACUCCACGGUGCAUGUCGUGGGGUGGAAAGCCUUGUGCGGCUGAGGAUGGGCCCGCGGCCUAUCAGCUUGUUGGUGGGGUGAGGCCUACCAAGGCGACGACGGGUAGCCGGCCUGAGAGGGCGACCGGCCACACUGGGACUGAGACACGGCCCAGACUCCUACGGGAGGCAGCAGUGGGGAAUCUUGCGCAAUGGGCGAAAGCCUGACGCAGCGACGCCGCGUGAGGGAUGACGGCCUGGU